rnacentral:ncRNA from 1 species
UUAAAGUAAAUUUUCUUUUGGACUUGAAUUUGUGGUCCCGAAACCACUGUUCUGAUUUCAUUGAAAACGAGCUAUUACAUAUGGAAACUACCAAGCUAGAGUACAAUAGGGACAAAGGGAAUUUACGGUGAAGCGAUGAAAUGUGUAGGGAUCGAUAAUAACACCAAUGACGAAAGCAUUUUGCUGGGCCGACAUUAACACUGAAAGACAAAAGUUAGGGAGUGAAUGAGAUUAGAUACCCCAAUAGUCUUAGCUGUAAAUGAUGGAUACUAAGCGCUAUGCGUAUUGACUCGUGAAAUGCUGUAGCUAACGCGUUAAGUAUCCUAACUGGGGAGUACGUUCGCAAGAAUGAAACUCAAAGGAAUUGACAGGGGCCUGCACAAGCGGUGGAGCAUGUAGUUUAAUUCGAUUCAAAUCGAAGAACCUUACCAGGGCUUGACAUGCCACGAAUCCUCUUGAAAGAGAGGGGUGCCUUAAGGAAUACAGACACAGGUGGUGCAUUGUUGUCGCCAGCUAGUGCCGUAAAGUGUUGGGUUAAGUCCCACAAUCCUCGUGUUUAGUUUCCACCGUAAGUUUGGAACCCUGAGAAAACUGUCAGUGAUAAAUCGGAGGAAGGUGAGGAUGACGUCAAGCUAGCAUGCCCCUUAUGCCUUAGGUGACACACGUGCUACAAUGACGGGACAAAGGGUCGCAAUCCUGCAAGGAUGAGCUAACUCCAAAAACCCGUUCGCAAUUUGGAUUGCAGGCUACAACUCACCUGCAUGAAGCUGGAACCGCUAGUAAUCGUCUGUCAGCCAUACGACAGUGAAUUAGUUCCUGGGGCUUGUACACACCACCUGUCACACUAUGGGAACUAGUCAUGCCCAAAGUCGUUACCUUAACCAUAAGGAGAAGGAUGCCGAAGGUAAGGCUAAUGACUGGAGUGAAAUCGUAACAAAGUACCCUUAUUAUAUUAUAU